UUGGUGAACCAGCGGAGGGAUCAUUGCUGGAACGCGCCCCAGGCGCACCCAGAAACCCUUUGUGAACUUAUACCUUUUGUUGCCUCGGCGCAUGCUGGCCUCUAGUAGGCCCCUCACCCCGGUGAGGAGCAGGCACGCCGGCGGCCAAGUUAACUCUUGUUUUUACACUGAAACUCUGAGAAAAAACACAAAUGAAUCAAAACUUUCAACAACGGAUCUCUUGGUUCUGGCAUCGAUGAAGAACGCAGCGAAAUGCGAUAAGUAAUGUGAAUUGCAGAAUUCAGUGAAUCAUCGAAUCUUUGAACGCACAUUGCGCCCUCUGGUAUUCCGGAGGGCAUGCCUGUUCGAGCGUCAUUUCAACCCUCAAGCAUUGCUUGGUGUUGGGGCACUGCUUUUAACGAAGCAGGCCCUGAAAUCUAGUGGCGAGCUCGCCAGGACCCCGAGCGCAGUAGUUAAACCCUCGCUCUGGAAGGCCCUGGCGGUGCCCUGCCGUUAAACCCCCAACUUUUGAAAAUUUGACCUCGGAUCAGGUAGGAAUAC
rnacentral:rRNA from 1 species